CCCUUAGAUGCUCUGGGCCGCACGCGCGCUACACUGGUCGAUGCAACGAGUUUCUUUCCUUGGCCGACAGGCCUGGGCAAUCUUUGAACAUCGAUCGUGAUCGGGAUAGAUUCUUGUAAUUUUUGAUCUUAAACGAGGAAUUCUUAGUAAACGCAAGUCAUCAGCUUGCAUUGAUUACGUCCCUGCCCUUUGUACACACCGCCCGUCGCACCUACCGAUUGAAUGGUCCGGUGAAAUCUCCGGACUGGCGUGAGUCGGAGCAAUCUGACAAACACCGGAAAGUUGAUUAAACCUUACCAUUUAGAGGAAGGUGAAGUCGUAACA
rnacentral:rRNA from 1 species